rnacentral:tRNA from 1 species
GCCUGGGUAGCUCAGUGGUAGAGCAUUUCUCUGAAAAAGAAAGGGUCGUGAGUUCGAUUCUCUCCCCAGGCA